UGGGGAAUAUUGGACAAUGGGCGAAAGCCUGAUCCAGCUAUGCUGCGUGUGUGAAGAAGGUCUUCGGAUUGUAAAGCACUUUAAGUUGGGAGGAAGAUCAGUUACCUAAUACGUGAUUGUUUUGACGUUACCGACAGAAUAAGCACCGGAUGAAUCUGUGACAGCAGCCGCGGUAAUACAGAGGGUGCAAGCGUUAAUCGGAAUUACUGGGCGUAAAGCGCGCGUAGGUGGUUAGGUAAGUUGGAUGUGAAAUCCCCGGGCUCAACCCGGGAACUGCAUUCAAAACUGACUGACUAUAGUAUGGUAGAGAGAAGUGGAAUUUCAAGUGUAGCGGUGAAAUGCGUAGAUAUAGGAAGGAACACCAGUAGCGAAGGCGACAACCUGGACUGAUACUGACACUGAGGUGCGAAAGCGUGGGGAGCAAACA
rnacentral:rRNA from 1 species